AACAGAGAUGCCAAGUCGAUUUUUAUUUUAAUUUAAUAAUGUUAUUUUAUGUUUUAAAAUUGAGAAGGUGAAAUGAUUGCACAGAGAUUUAAAAAAGAAUAAUAAAAUUUGCAUAUACGUGUGUAUAUAAUAUGGUUGUUUAUAGAGCUAUUUUCUAAAAUGGCUUGGCUUUUAAUGGAGCGAUGACUCAUACGAAUUGAUUGGAGCAGUCUACGUACUGAAAUAUCAACAACACAGUGCAAUAAAUUGAAAAAUAAAUUAAAGGAUUUCAGUAAAGGCUUGCUUGAAAUAGAGCGUGAGUUCGUGUAUAUAAAUUCAAAAUUAUUAAAUGAGGCUUGAAUUUGCAUAUAAAGUGCGCUGAAACGUAUACUUGUAUUUUUUAACGCGUGUUCGCAUGUUAUGGCGUUCCACCAUUACGGGGACAGUCCCGAAAAAUUUACCCUAAUUUUAAUAUAACUUAAAGAAACAAUUUCAAGAAUUAUAUCCUUAGAGUAAAACCCGGCUAAAAAAGGUAAGAAAAACUCAAUGACGACAUUGACAUAGUUCAGCGAAUAAAAAGACAGCGGCUGCGCUGACUAGGUUAUGUUGCUCGAAUGGACGAAAGCACUCCAGCUUUGAAAGUAUUCAAUGCAGUACGCGCCGUAGGUAGCCGUGGAAGGGGAAGACCUCCACUCCGUUGG